ensembl:lncRNA
CUGCAUGUGUGUUUUGAUGAACGUUUGAGUUUUAACGAGUGCUAUUAGCAUUUGGCGUAGCGCAUUUGCAUUUGCUGAUGGCUAGAUGAGACGUCUGCGUCUCGGGUCGACGCAAGAGGUUUUAAUAUAAUUUAACAGCAGGGGGCAGUACUAUAAUUUAAUUAUACCCAUUAGAUUAGAAACGGGUUGGGCAACUGGUGGUAUUUUACAGGAUAUUUUCUACCUGCAGGCUGCAAUGGUUUUUAUGUCUUGGCUUUAUGUCGGGUAUUUUUUUUUUUUUACGUAGUUGGCAACGGCAGUAAAAUGAACUUUUAGAUUUGUGUAGUUUUAAUUUAGAUUUAGAAUAUAGAUUAACAACAGACUAUGAGAUACAAAGACUAGUAUAAAUGGAAGGAAACAGUUCUACGGAAAUGGUAACCAUAACCGGUAGGUAGAUCGGUAGAAAUGGUAACCAUAACCGGUAGGUAGAUCGGUAGAAAUGGUAACCAUAACCGGUAGGUAGAUCGGUAGAAAUGGUAACCAUAACCGGUAGGUAGAUCGGUAGAAAUGGUAACCAUAACCGGUAGGUAGAUUGGUAGAAAUGGUAAGAUACAUUUCCAAAUGGAAAAGGUUGUCUUUUUCCGGUAACUUCGGG